GGGGCGCGCGGUCGCGACGGGGACGCGCCCGGAGACGGUGGCGCGCGCGACUCUGAGGAGCUCGGGGCUCUGCGCUAGCUCCCGCCGCCCCCUCCCCCGCCCCGUCCAACAGCGGAGUCGGGCGGGCGGAGAGGCGACCAGGACAGGCGCCCUAGUCGUUUAAGGACCCGUUGUGCUGCCGAGGCUGCCUGUGUCCUGAAUAAAUUCCAAACGCUUACCUUUCAUGGUAAUUUUGCUCUGGGGAAGAGCCAGAAGUUGCACAGUACCAGAUCUGGUGAAUGAGUACGGGGGAUCAAACUCAGGACCUUGCACUUACAAGGCAGGGGAAGAGACGAGGGCGUCCUCGGGGCCUGUCCUAGGAGGGCACCAAUCUGCUCAGAAGGCGCCCCACCCUCCUGACCUGGUCCUCCUGAGGCCAUCGCCGUGGGAGUCAGGACCCAGGCAUCGGAAUCCUGGGAGGAGCGCAGCACGCAUCUUCUCUUACCUACUGAGGCCUGGAAGUGUUCCCUUUCCGCACAGCCUCGCACCGGUUUUACGCUUCAGAAGAUUGACGGAGUAAAUGCAUCCCUCAGCUCCCUCCACAGAGAGGUUCCUCUAAACUAAAAAUAGGAGGCUCCUCGGUGCUUUUCAGUCAUAAUCAAUGACUAUGCAUGAGGUGGUUAUUUUAAACUCAGCAAUUUAGCCACAAUCCCAUCAUUGAGUUGGGCCUGGAAUCGCAGAGGGAGGAUUCAGGGUGUUUAUCUGCCACAGCUGCUCAGCAGCCUCCUGCCCAAGCACGGUUUCCCUGGAACAGUGUGAGCUUAUUUAAUAACUUGGGGGAACAUUCUGGAAAGUACCUCAAUCUGUGUUAGGAAAACUACAAAAACUCCUCCCCCACCCCUCUGCAGAAUUCCUCUCCCCUGUUUCCUUUCAAUUUAAGACUCCAGAAAGAUAAUGGGAGUAAAGCCAAUUUCAUUGUACUGUCCGGAAUAGUCAUUCCUUCCAGCUUGCCCAUUGUGAUCAGAUUCUAGCAGUCUUCAAACAAGUAGAAAUUAUAAUCUAGUGGGUACCUAUUUAAAGUAACAAUUCGAGGCAACAGAGAGGGCUUCAUUCUGGAUACACAUGUUAUUAAGUAAGAUUAGAGAGACCAUUUAUCCAGCAGUGAGCGGCAGGAGCGGGAAUCAACAUUUUAAGCUCCCCACUCCCAUUUCUUCAAGGUCUGAGGUGGAUAAAAUGACAUCAUUUCUCUGUAUUUAGCUUCUCUGUUCUUAAAUUAUAAACAAACUUGUUAUUACUUCACAAAGUUCUGGGCUACCUAAACCUACAAGAUAUAACACCAAGCUCCCUAGAGAAGUUGAUUUGUAAAUAAAUGACUCUUCACAAAAACAUAAUCUCGAUUUAAAUUGGUGCUCUAGGUCUGAAGUUGGGCCAAGUAUAUUUUUCAAAUGUGAAAUCUUACUAUUGAAGGUAAGCUCUAAUUCAGAUUACACACUUUAAUUUUUUUUCUUCCAUUAGUAAAUACUAGGUUGAGAGAAGUGGAGAAAGUUGAACACCUUUAACACAUCUUUGCCUGAUUUCCUUAACAUUAAUAAAUAUCAUUAAUGUGUG